rnacentral:rRNA from 1 species
UACGAAGGGGGGCUAGCGUUGCUCGGAAUCACUGGGCGUAAAGGGUGCGUAGGCGGGUCUUUUAAGUCAGGGGUGAAAUCCUGGAGCUCAACUCCAGAACUGCCUUUGAUACUGAAGAUCUUGAGUUCGGGAGAGGUGAGUGGAACUGCGAGUGUAGAGGUGAAAUUCGUAGAUAUUCGCAAGAACACCAGUGGCGAAGGCGGCUCACUGGCCCGAUACUGACGC